rfam:Hordeum vulgare subsp. vulgare, WGS project CAJW01000000 data, contig: morex_contig_134923
UAAGUACUCCCUCGGUCCCAAAAUUCUUGUCUUAGAUUUGUCUAGAUAUGAAUGUAUAUAGUCAUGUUUUAGUAUUUUGAUACAUUCAUUUCUAAACAAACUUAAGACAAGAAUUUUGAAACGGAGGGAGUCGUAA